AUCAGACACCAAUCGCCAUCUAUUAGCAAAUGGUGGGAACAAAAGCUCUUCCGUCUGCACUCAGCAAGCGAUUUAGUAAGGUGCUUGGCUACGUUGUAGAAGACAUUCUCAAAGAAAAGCUCUUCAGUCAGCAAUCAGCAAAAACGAUAUAGUAAGGUGCAUGGCUAUGUCGUUGAAGACAAAAAA